rnacentral:rRNA from 1 species
UUGAAAGGGAAACGAUUGAAGUCAGUCGUACCUAUGGGUAAUCAGCCUUUUGGGUGUGAUUUUGUGGAGCGUGAGGAGUUAAACGCCUUCAUGCCUGCAUAUUCGUGCACUUUGGGUGUACUUGCCCGUAUGGUUGGUUAACAUCAAUUUUGGUGGUCAUAAAAUGACUGGAGGAAUGUAGCUUCGAUCUUGUAUUGAAGUGUUAUAGCCCUCGGUAGAUGUGAUGAUCGAGAUUGAGGAUUGCAACGGAUACCCUUCGGGGCUACCUGUCUGAUCUCUGAUCGUUGCUCUGGUGCCGAAAGCUUGCUUACGGUUAUCAAAGUCGAUGGUCAAUAGGUUAGAACGGGUUAAAUUCGUUAAGGAUGUUGACGUA